AUACAUUAAGAAACAAAAAUUAUUGUAGCACUUAUUGCUUUUAAUAUUUGUAAGCCAUUUCAUCUUCAAGACUUUGAGAUAUCAUGGAAUGUGAUACUGAGGUUUUUUGAAGUGUUUAAAGGGUGACUUGUACUUAGAUUUCUUUAGCUUCGUUAUCAGAUUAUCUUUGGUUUUGCGUGUAUAACAGAAGUCACCAAACCAAGUAAACAAUGAUUUGGUUUGCUCAAUUACUAGCAUUUUAAACAGCUUAUCAAUGUCUGGUAAGAAAAACGAGAAGAAAAAACAGUAUUUAGUUAAUAGCGUUUCAUGAUCUCAGCGGACGAUGAUCAUUUUCUUUUUUUAAUCUAUAUUUCGCUAGAGCAUACGUCUGUCCUCCAAUUUUCACUUAAACAAUAUAGAUUUGGCAGUGUUACUAGAAAUACCAUUCUUCAGUGCUUUAUAAUUCUUCAUUUUUUUGAAAUUGAGUUUAUUUACUAAUAUAAUAUGCUUAUCUAACGUACCGCAUAUAAUCUGAAAAAGGCGUGUCUCUCCUUAUACAAUAGCGUGUUAUUCUGG